GAAAAUUCAGUGAAUGGCUUCGUAAUAUUGUGAUUUGUGAGAUCACGAACUAAUGAAAACGAAGUGCUGUGUGUUAAAUUGGGAAAACAUAAAUAAAAAUAAAACCUCUAAGUUCCGCUUACAUAUUUAUGUGGAAGACGCCGUGGCACGAAAGUACAUAUAUUGUGUGUGUUAAUUUUCUGGUGUUUGGUUUUUCCCAUUGCUUUCAUCUACUCUUCUUCUCCACAAACAAGUAAUUCCCCUUCGUAUUGCCUGUUUAUUCAUGGGCUCAAGGCGUAUCUAUACAAGGUGGUAUCAUUAGAAGAGCUGAUUAAUUCGCCUUGGGCGAAUUGGCACCUCUCAAAAAUUUGUACCAAGGCGAAUUCGCUUUGUUUACAUAUUUCUUUGUUUCUAUAUUGUUAUGUAUGUUAAGUUCCCUUCAGUUAGAAACGAUGUUCAACAAAAUGAACAAGGAUUAUGCAUGCAUAUGCUGCGGAAGGCGAUGUGCCUGUUUUCCUAUACCUAUUUUUGUCUUAUGUGCUUCAAUUUAUGUUUCAUAUCUUGGUAUGGUAGAUGCAUAUGCUGCGGAAGGCGAUGUGCCUGUUUUCCUAUACUGAAAUAUUGAAGUCAACCAGCAGUGGGCUGAGCCUCUUGUCCAUGCACUGAAGCAAGAAAACUUUACUAUACAAGAACCGGUUAUGGACUUCAUUAGUCCCAAUAGGUUUGAAUAGAACAAUGAAAUAACCUAAUUUAAUGUACAUAUUUGCGAACAAAUCCACUUUUAAUUUAUAAAUUAUCAAACAGUUUUCCCCUACAUGUAAACCCAUUAAUAUACAUAUGUAUGUGUUCUCCUCAUAGCCACUAUCUAUUUGUUAUAUCAUCAUAAAGCUAGCUUUGUGUAGUAGAAACGAAUGUAAUUCAAAUAGUUAUGCAACAACUUCAUAGUCAUAGUCAACAUCAAGCUAAGUAAAGGAAUUGAAAUAAAAAAGACAAAAGUAGUUUGUAAACCUUUAAGCUUAAAUAAAACUUGCUAAUACGGCAUUUUAAUUAUAUCCUUUUGUAUUUUAAGAAUACCAUUUUAUUUCGUGUUUGCUUUUUCAAAAUCUGUUUAAUUUUUAAUCUUUAAUUUAUAUAAACAACAUUUGUCGGGAAUUUUUAUAGCUUCCUUUUAUUCACUAGCUUUUCGGCAGCUUUUCAAUUAGAAGUUAUGAAAUCCUCACAGCAGGCACUGCACAUCACCACAAAGCAGACCCCUAAUUUUGUUGAUGAUGAUUCACAUGAAUAAUUUGUGUCUCCAAGAUAAUCAUAAUUCAAAACGUACUUUUACAUCUAUGUCUCCGCAAAAUUCGUUUUACCUGCUCUCCAUUUUCAUUUAAUAACAAAAUUGAACACGUUGUUAUUAUGAAUGCUGUUACUUUUCGCAAGAACAAACUGCAUGUAACUUUUUGUUAUUCUACAACUGCUAUCUAGAUACGCCGUGCAUGGACUCUUACAACAUGGCGAACUCGGAAGGCGCAAUCGUGUAGUCCAAGGCUAAUUUAUUACAGGGGAUGGCAACCACAUAUAAGAAAAAAUAUACAUGUAUUUGUUCUUGCCUGUGGUGUAGGCAUCACGUCAAAAUCAGCUGUUUGUGUUCAGGGCGCUUUGCUUGUGAAAUUAAAUUGCUUAGUAAAUUCCAAGAUGGAUUUAUUAAUUUGUGGGAAAAUUGCUUUGAAGAUGCCAGCAUUUGCGAUGCGGUGAUGUGAAUGCAGCGGCGGCUAGGAGAAUUCCAUACAAUUACAAUGGGCGUCAGAAACACUCGCCAAAACUAAAACAAAAAGCAACGAUUGUUUUCCAUACUUCUAGCAGAAAAACAAGAAGAGAAAAGUUUAACUAAUUUACCACCUGAUGAAAAGUUAGCUGAAAAACUAGGCUGGAAAUUGUCAGAAUAUAAAAAGUCGCCACAUUUUCCACAUGAUUUUUAUAAUCUGUAUUUAGAAUAUAAGUCCUUAAACUUGGUAAAAUU